rnacentral:lncRNA from 1 species
GUUUAGCUAUCCUGGAAUUCAUUCAGAAAGGCUCAUUCUGAUUCCACAGCCAGAACAUAAUCUCUCCUGGGCCAUGUAAUGCUGACCAGGAGGUCGAGAAACAACUUCCUCAGAAGAACAGAACCAGAAGCUUCAUCUCCUCUGUGACUGUGUGUAGAAAGCUGCCCACAUUUCUGAUGCUGAAAGGAUUCAUGUGAACAGUGACUCCACCGAUAUCUUUAGGGAGCUGACUUACAUGAGACAUUUCUGCAGCUGAUCAUUGACUGAAUCUCCAAGGUUUCAGGACUGAGAAAUAAAUCUCUGAUAAAGUGAAGCAAGACGAGAGGAAAAACAACAUAAGCAUUCCGGUUUGUAUCCAUCUUUACUAGUACCUGUAGGUUCCUGCUUCAAUUUAACACCCCAUCCCCAUUUGCCCCCACUGGAGAAUGGAGACAGCACACAGUGAUCAGCAACCACCUCUCAAAGAAAAGAAGCAGCAGUCUGCCUUACGAAUGCGGCUACCAGAGAGAAAAAUGAGCCAGAAGUGGAGUUCCAUUCCCAAAACAGUUGUUACCCAAGCCUAUCCAAACAGUACCUGCAUCUGCCACUGAGACCGUUAGAGCAAAUGAGCUAACCGUGUGAGAAGUCAAAGCAACCGAGUGAGCAGUCUAAGGAGCUUCGUUAAGAAAGCAAUUUUCCCUGGAGAUGUGGAUUCAAAUGCCCCCAUCACCAGCCAGCUGAUACUCAGAUACCAUCGUGAUAGAGCUUUUUUUUUGGUUACAAUUUAUAAUAUCUGUGCUAUCUGUAUAGAGUUGGGUACAAAAUUUACAAUUCUCGCCCUCCUCCCCCCCUUUUUUUUUUCAAGAAGCAAAACCAAACCAAAUAGACCAAAAAAAAGUCUCUCCACCCAAACUACUCCUUCAAGCAGAUGCUUGAGAAAUUAGAUCAACCUGGCACUCUUCCCUGAAGUUCAGUAGAAUCAGCCUUUGUCUGGUAAGGGAGCGCUAACAAAUUCCAGUGUCACAGGGGGCCCCACUACUGAGAACCGUGUCCCCAGUCCCAGAUGUUUAAAAUCUAAAGACUAUUGUCUUGAGCACUUUAACUAAUCUCAGUUGCUACUGUGGUGUGUCUGGAGACAGAUUUUUUUCUCAAGAACAUAGGGUUUAUGCAAUGUAGGGCUCUAAAGCUCACUCUGCUGGAGCAGUGAACUCAUAACAUUUUCCUACUGACUUCUAGGUUUGCGGCUUUCCCUUUUUGUCCAUCCCUCAACUGACUAAUUUUUAGCCACUGUGCUGUUGGUGAAAGCUCAAAAGCAGCAGUGGAGUAGCGUUAAAUCAAUACAGCUUCCCAUGUUUAAUAAUCACCUCCUUUCUCAACUCACCCCAUACAUAAUUGAUUUGAAAAAUCCAUUAAAAACAAUGGGAGAACCAAAACUUUAGUCACCUUGUCCUUUUUUCCCCUCUUAGACCUGCACAACUUCUCUGAAAUGAAUCUCCCUUGGCUUUUACAGUA